rnacentral:rRNA from 1 species
AUGGCCGCGGGCGCCGGCGUGUACGCCAUGGCGCAGUGUGUGGAGACGGUCGGGGCGGGCGGCUGCGCGCAGUGCCUGGAGGUAGCUUCGAGCAACAUUGACCUGUGCCCGCCCAAUUCCGACGGCCGCGCAGUGGACGUCGGGUGCUUCAUGAGGUACUCUGAUAAGCCCUUCUUCCCGGCUAAUGAGACCGCAGACCUGGCGCCCUACUUGCGCUCUGGAAAAUCAACAGAGAAGGGAGCCAUUGUAGGAGGGAUUCUGGGAGGUGUAGCCUUCCUCUUGCUUCUAGGGUUAUUAGCUUUGUUAUGGAUUUGGCAGUCUAAGAAGCUACAGAAACCUUGGAGAGGUGAUAUACUUGGAGCAACAGAACUGCAAGGUCCAACAAAUUUUUACUAUCGCGAUCUUAAGGCUGCAACCAAUAAUUUCAGUGAGAAAAGUAAAAUUGGAGAAGGAGGUUUUGGAGAUGUCUUUAAGGGUUUGUUGAAAAAUGGAAAAAUUGUUGCAGUAAAAAGGUUGUCAGUAAUGCAAACUAGCAGGGCCAAAGAAGAUUUUGAAAGUGAGGUGAAGCUAAUUAGCAAUGUUCAACAUCGAAAUCUUGUCCGGCUUCUUGGUUGUUCUCGCAAGGGUUCCGAAUGCCUCCUUGUUUAUGAAUAUAUGGCCAAUAGUAGUCUUGACAAGUUACUAUUCGGUGAGAGACGUGGAACACUUAACUGGAAGCAGCGAUUUAACAUCAUGGUUGGCAUGGCCCGUGGCCUUGCAUAUCUUCAUCAAGAGUUCCAUGUGUGCAUCAUACACCGUGACAUAAAAUCUAGCAAUGUUCUUCUUGAUGAUGACUUCCAGCCUAAGAUUGCUGAUUUUGGUUUGGCAAGGCUCCUACCAGAUGAUCAUAGUCAUGUCAGCACUAGAUUUGCAGGCACAUUGGGGUACACUGCUCCCGAGUAUGCAAUCCAAGGCCAGCUAACGGAGAAGGUUGACACAUACAGCUUUGGUAUAGUUAUUUUGGAAAUAAUAAGUGGUCGGAAAAUCAAUGAUACAAGGCUUGAGCCUGAAGCACAGUACCUACUUGAAUCGGCAUGGAAGCUAUAUGAAAAUGAGAACGUGAUUAAGUUGGUGGAUGAAUUGUUAGACCAUGACGAAUAUAUGCUAGAAGAGGUAAAAAGAAUAAUAGAGAUAGCGCUUCUUUGCACUCAAUCAGCCCCUGCUUCAAGGCCAACGAUGUCAGAGGUAGUUAUGUUGUUGUUAUCAAGAAAUUCUCCUGAGAUACAACCCGCAAGGCCCACCUUUAUUGAUUCAGCAAGUAGAGUGCAAGAUGAAACAUCUGUGUCCAGUUCAUCCUCUGCAUCCAAGGCCACUGUCUCGAUGUCACAGUUAUCAGCCAGGUAA